UGGUGGAGUGAUUUGUCUGGUUAAUUCCGUUAACGAACGAGACCUCGACCUGCUAAAUAGUUUGGCAAACUCUCCUGGGUUUGUACAACACUUCUUAGAGGGACUAUCGUGCGUGUAGCCGGUGGAAGUUCGAGGCAAUAACA
rnacentral:rRNA from 1 species